UGGCUACAAAAUAACUUAUUUUAUAGCCACUUUGAGUUACGAUAAUUACUAUAUUAAUUUACAAGAUUAUAGUAACUCCUUACUAAGUGGUUUACUCCCCAUGUGUUAUAGUAACUCAACUAUCGUAAAUAUGUAUACAUAUUAUCGUAAAUUAAUAUAUAAAAUUAUCGUAAAUGGAGGUGGCUACAGAAUAACAUAUUUUGUAGCUA
rnacentral:pre_miRNA from 1 species